AUUGAACGCUGGCGGAAUGCUUUACACAUGCAAGUCGAACGGCAGCACGGACUUCGGUCUGGUGGCGAGUGGCGAACGGGUGAGUAAUGUAUCGGAACGUGCCCAGUCGUGGGGGAUAACGUAGUGAAAAUUACGCUAAUACCGCAUACGAUCUAUGGAUGAAAGCGGGGGAUCGCAAGACCUCGCGCGAUUGGAGCGGCCGAUAUCAGAUUAGGUAGUUGGUGGGGUAAAGGCCCACCAAGCCAACGAUCUGUAGCUGGUCUGAGAGGACGACCAGCCACACUGGAACCGAGACACGGUCCAGACUCCUACGGGAGGCAGCAGUGGGGAAUUUUGGACAAUGGGCGAAAGCCUGAUCCAGCCAUUCCGCGUGCAGGAUGAAGGCCCUCGGGUUGUAACUGCUUUUGUACAGAACGAAAAGGUUUCUACUAAUACUAGGAGCUCAUGACGGUACUGUAAGAAUAAGCACCGGCUAACUACGUGCCAGCCGCCGCAGUAA
rnacentral:rRNA from 1 species